rnacentral:rRNA from 1 species
GCAGACCUCUUACAAAAAAUGCAAGUCGAACGAAUCUUCGAGAUUAUAGGCGCACGGGUGUCGUAUCGCGUGUGAAUCUGUCCUUCGGUACGGGAAUACUCACAGGAAAUUUGUGCUAAUACCGUAGUAAUGACUUCGGUCCAGAAGAUAUAUCUGCCCAGAGGAUAGAGGCCCGCGUAGAUAAGCUAGUUGGUGGGGUAAAAGCCUACCAAGGCGACAAUCUUUAGACUGGUCUGAUGAGGAUGAUCAGCCACACUGGGACUGAGACACGGCCCAGACUCCUACGGUGAGGCAGCAUGUGGGGAAUAUUUGGACAAUGGGCGAAGAGCCUGAUCCAGCAAUGCCGCGUGAGUGAUUGAAAGCCUUAGGGUUGUAAAGCUCUUUUACCCGGGAUGAUAAUGACAGUACCGGGAGAAUAAUGCUCCGGCUAACUCCGUGCCAGCAGCCGCGGUAAUACGGAAGGGAGCUACGUUGUUCGGAAUUACUGGGCGUAUAGCGCGCGUAUGCGGUUUUUUAAGUCAGAGGUGAAGAGCCCAGUGCUCAACACUGGAACUGCCUUUGAGACUGGAAAACUUGAAUCAUUGGAGAGGUCAGUGGAAUUCCGAGUGUAGAGGUGAAAUUCGUAGAUAUUCGGAAGAACACCAGUGGCGAAGACGACUGACUGGACAUGUAUUGACGCUCAGGUGCGAAAGCGUGGUGGAGCAAACAGGAUUAGAUACCCUGGGUAGUUCCACGCCGUAAACGAUGAUUAACUAUCUGUUCGGGGCUCAUAGAAGCUUGAAGUUGGAAGCAGACUAACGCAUUUAAGUUAUCCGCCUGGGGAGAUACGGUC